UACGUAGGGGGCAAGCGUUGUCCGGAAUCAUUGGGCGUAAAGAGCGUGUAGGCGGCCCGGUAAGUCCGCUGUGAAAGUCGAGGGCUCAACCCUCGAAUGCCGGCGGAUACUGUCGGGCUUGAGUCCGGAAGAGGCGAGUGGAAUUCCUGGUGGAGCGGUGAAAUGCGCAGAUAUCAGGAGGAACACCUACGGCGAAGGCAGCUCGCUGGGACGGUACUGACGCUGAGACGCGAAAGCGUGGGGAGCAAACAGG
rnacentral:rRNA from 1 species